CUUACUCAAGCUCGGGUUCUUCUCCUAGGCGGAAGCCAGACCAGAGAGCGUGCGUGUUUUUCCCAGGGUGCCCCGCGCUGCUGUUAUGGCCGCCUCCUUGAGAGAGUGGAUCUUUCCUACAAUUGCUACUGGAAGGGAACUAUGAAGCCAUAUUCUUAAAUUCAAUGACUCAAAAUAUUUUUAAUUCAACAACAACCGCUGAAGAAAAGAUUGAUAGCUACCUGGAGAAGCAGGUAGUAACAUUCCUGGAUUACUCAACAGAUUUGGACACAACGGAAAGACAACAGUUGAUAUUUCUACUUGGUGUGAGCAGUUUGCAACUUUUUGUUCAGAGCAACUGGACGGGGCCCCCUGUUGACUUACACCCUCAGGACUUUUUGUCAUCUGUUUUGUUCCAGCAAUUCAGUGAGGUUAAAGGACUGGAUGCAUUUGUUCUGAGCCUGCUCACUCUAGAUGGUGAAUCAAUCUACAGCCUGACCUCGAAGCCUAUACUACUGUUAUUAGCACGC
rnacentral:lncRNA from 1 species